rnacentral:lncRNA from 1 species
AUAAACAUUUUUGAUGCAUCUGUUUGCUCUCAGAUUUAAAAAAAAAAGAGCAAAUCGUUUCCCCCCCCCCCCUUUGAUUGAAAGAGUGUGAUGCCACUGGGGAGGGAAAGGUUCAAAUGUGAUCAUCAUAGGUUGGUGACACCAAAAAUAGAAACUCACUUAGGGUAAAAUUUGCUGUCAGGAGAAAUGGAGCAUUCUUUCUGAACCCGGGAGCGUGUGGUCCGUGUGAGCUUGCUUGUAGAGGGUUGCUACAAUAAGGCUUCUUUCAUACAGGUGUGUUUAUGCCCCAGGCUUGCUGGCCACAGUCCAUUCCAUUUACAGAAGCUGAAUUAAACAAUAACUACCGCUUGCAAAAAAAAAAAUGGUGGAGGUGGGGGGAAGGGGAGGGGGAAAGGUGAGCGUCAAAGGAGAUGCCUGAGAGCUUUGUUAGGGCCAAGAAAAACCCUGUUGUAGUUGUCAGAGCUUGUUGAUGUUGCUGGGAACGGCACUUUUUUUUCUCCUGGAUUUUGUGGUUCUGCCUUAGGAAAGAAAGUAAAAUAGAACGGAAGAACAAAGUCCCACUCUAUAAAUCAGCAGCUGCUCCUUGCCAGAUCAAAGGAGUGACAUUCUUGCUCCUGGACUUCUUGUCCACUUGAGGGCUUGACAGGCAGCUAACAGCUGGCCCGCUGCACUAUAAGAGAGAAUCAGCCUACAUCUUCUUCCAAGCAGAUGACAAGCUAAUCAGAGACCUAUCCAUAGCCCAGGACAUGGGAGUGCCCCUUGACCUCCACCAACAUCUCGAAUACAUAAUUGCUAAACAGCGUGCUGUAUUUUUGGCCCUGUUAGUUCUUAGGUUCCAUUGAGAAGUAGAAUCUGAGAUAACACUUCAAUCAAAGGUGAUCAUGAAAGCUUU